ensembl:lncRNA
CACAGCCACGGCGCCCCUUCAGCCUCGUACACACCACUGGGCCCUCCUUCUCGUUACACAGCCCAUGUGGGGGACGGGCCCCUUAAGCCUCGUACACGCCCCAUGGGCCCCUUCAGCCUCGUACACAGCCACCUGGGCCCCUUCAGCCUCGUACACAGCCACUGGGCACCUUCAGCCUCGUACACAGCCACUGGGCCCCUUCAGCCUCGUACACAGCCACUGGG